GCGGGAAGGGGGGAAGGGCAGUGAUGGAAUCCUAGGUCCCCGUGGCCUUCCUGGACAAAAUGGCCCCCCAGGGCCAGAUGGGAAGCCAGGGGACCCAGGCCCAUCUGGUGUCAGAGGAACUCAAGGCAGAGAUGGGAUACCAGGACCAGCGGGAGAGAAAGGAGACAUAGGGGCGGCUGAGUAUGGCUCCUCAGGCCCCCCGGGACCAACGGGCAUAAGAGGUAU